UAAAGGGGAUUGUAAAUGUAAUUUCGUUUAGUGUUCUAGGGCUACGCAUUGCUAAACAAAGUCAUCCGGAUGGGUACGGAGCGCAUGUCCGAGACUGAGAAGCGGGCGUGUUGGUGACACUGUCUAGGCUCUGUCAUUUCAAGAAUCACAAGGACAAUCUGCUCUAAGAACAAGAUGAGACGUUCUAGUGGGAAAUGAAUUCUCCUCUCACCGUACCUGACUGUGUGACAAGAAUAAAUGAUCACCGUGUAACUCCUUCCCUUCCGGGCCAGGCGAAUGUACACUCGGUGCAUCCAAAGUCACUUAGAUGUUGCCAGGGCCGCUUACAAAGGAAAGGGCAGUAUGCCUCUCUAUGUGCAAACAAGAUGGCUGCUGCCGUGAAUGCGGCCACAAGAAGCAGAAAUGUACAAAUGGGCAGAUGCGGGGACAGAAACACACAGGGGACACUGGCAGAUUACACUGGGGUAUUGAGGCGUGGCUGGUGGGAGCUGGCACUUAUUAAAAUGUAGACGUGCGAAGCUUCUUCCAUAUACAGUUGAAGGGAGAAGAAUUCCGGGGCUCCGGCUGAAACACACAAGGUACAUACCCACCCCAGAACUAAACCCUUAGGGGAGUACACGCCAAGCCUCUCAGCAACAUGGAACAAAUUCAGGUUUGGCUGAAGAUUGUGGGGGAACAAAUCUCCAACAUACCAUCUAUUCCAGAUACGGUCAUACUUGGAUUCAGCAUUGCAAGUGAUAUACGGGUAACACCCUGCUGUAACGUUUACUAAAUAAAGAGUUAUUCAUUAGUGA